GAGCUUGCUCCUGUGGGAUCAGUGGCGAACGGGUGAGUUAACACGUGAGCAACCUGCCCCUGACUCUGGGAUAAGCGCUGGAAACGGCGUCUAAUACUGGAUAUGUGACGUGACCGCAUGGUCUGCGUCUGGAAAGAAUUUCGGUUGGGGAUGGGCUCGCGGCCUAUCAGCUUGUUGGUGAGGUAAUGGCUCACCAAGGCGUCGACGGGUAGCCGGCCUGAGAGGGUGACCGGCCACACUGGGACUGAGACACGGCCCAGACUCCUACGGGAGGCAGCAGUGGGGAAUAUUGCACAAUGGGCGCAAGCCUGAUGCAGCAACGCCGCGUGAGGGACGACGGCCUUCGGGUUGUAAACCUCUUUUAGCAGGGAAGAAGCGAAAGUGACGGUACCUGCAGAAAAAGCGCCGGCUAACUACGUGCCAGCAGCCGCGGUAAUACGUAGGGCGCAAGCGUUAUCCGGAAUUAUUGGGCGUAAAGAGCUCGUAGGCGGUUUGUCGCGUCUGCUGUGAAAUCCGGAGGCUCAACCUCCGGCCUGCAGUGGGUACGGGCAGACUAGAGUGCGGUAGGGGGAGAUUGGAAUUCCUGGUGUAGCGGUGGAAUGCGCAGAUAUCACGAGGAACACCGAUGGCGAAAGCAGAUCUCUGGGCCGUAACUGACGCUGAGGAGCGAAAGGGUGGGGAGCAAACAGGCUUA
rnacentral:rRNA from 1 species